UGCAAUCUUUAGUGCUAUAUUUUACUCUCUUUUUUCACAGGAAUUGCAUUAUGGUUGUUAAUUCGUUGCAUAUGUUUAAAGAUAACACCUAGGGCAUUUACAACAAUUGACUUAUCCUGUAAACCAGUCAGUUGGAAAAACGCUGUAAUAGCAAUCUUCUGCUGGCCAUGCCAACCACAUUUAAAGGCACCUGCUAAACCACCAUGGAUUUAUGCCCAAGGCAAGAGUGAUAAAUCCAUAUGGAUAGAAUGGGAACAACCACCUCAGGAUGAUUACAGCUG